GCAGGGCGGCAGCUACCAUGCAGUCGAGCGGUAACAGAUCCAGCUUGCUGGAUGCUGACGAGCGGCGGACGGGUGAGUAAUGCAUAGGAAUCUGCCCGAUAGUGGGGGAUAACCUGGGGAAACCCAGGCUAAUACCGCAUACGUCCUACGGGAGAAAGGGGGCUUCGGCUCCCGCUAUCGGAUGAGCCUAUGUCGGAUUAGCUAGUUGGUGAGGUAACGGCUCACCAAGGCCACGAUCCGUAGCUGGUCUGAGAGGAUGAUCAGCCACAUCGGGACUGAGACACGGCCCGAACUCCUACGGGAGGCAGCAGUGGGGAAUAUUGGACAAUGGGGGGAACCCUGAUCCAGCCAUGCCGCGUGUGUGAAGAAGGCCCUCGGGUUGUAAAGCACUUUCAGCGAGGAAGAACGCCUAGCGGUUAAUACCCGCUAGGAAAGACAUCACUCGCAGAAGAAGCACCGGCUAACUCCGUGCCAGCAGCCGCGGUAAUACGGAGGGUGCAAGCGUUAAUCGGAAUUACUGGGCGUAAAGCGCGCGUAGGUGGCUUGAUAAGCCGGUUGUGAAAGCCCCGGGCUCAACCUGGGAACGGCAUCCGGAACUGUCAAGCUAGAGUGCAGGAGAGGAAGGUAGAAUUCCCGGUGUAGCGGUGAAAUGCGUAGAGAUCGGGAGGAAUACCAGUGGCGAAGGCGGCCUUCUGGACUGACACUGACACUGAGGUGCGAAAGCGUGGGUAGCAAACAGGAUUAGAUUCUUU
rnacentral:rRNA from 1 species